rnacentral:rRNA from 1 species
UACGAAGGGUGCAAGCGUUACUCGGAAUUACUGGGCGUAAAGCGUGCGUAGGUGGUCGUUUAAGUCUGUCGUGAAAGCCCUGGGCUCAACCUGGGAAUUGCGAUGGAUACUGGGCGACUAGAGUGUGGUAGAGGAUAGUGGAAUUUCCGGUGUAGCAGUGAAAUGCGUAGAGAUCGGAAGGAACAUCUGUGGCGAAGGCGACUAUCUGGGCCAACACUGACACUGAAACACGAAAGCGUGGGUAGCAAACAGG